GGUCUCAGAAGAGGAACCUUACGCAAAUAUGCAUUGUGGGGCAAUUAUUGGGGGAAUUUUGAAGAAUACUCUUCGGCCCCCUAUUCCUGAAAGGUGUGAUCCGGAGUGGAGGAAACUGAUGGAAGAGUGUUGGUCAACUGACGCUGAAGCACGACCCUCAUUUACAGAGAUUACAAACAGGUUGCGAUCUAUGUCUGUGGCAGCCCAAGAAAAGGGACAAAGUAAUCUAGCAAGAUAGAUGAUGCCUAGCAUCUCCAUGUAAAUUGCCAGAGUUGUAUUUAGUUUUGGUCUUCUUCUUCUUCUUUUGGUGUGUAAUUAAUCUAGCUUUUCCAUUUAUUAAUUCUUUUGCAAAUAGAGAAAAGCUCAAGGUCAUGGUAUUGUUAGGUUAUGAACAAGCCAUCUACGGUUUUAGUGAUCAGAUUGCUGUGGAUGUUUUUGUUUAUGUGAACACACCAAGUAAUGGGAAUUUUGUUUGGUUUUUGUGA